rnacentral:rRNA from 1 species
UGGGGAAUUUUGGACAAUGGGCGAAAGCCUGAUCCAGCAAUGCCGCGUGUGUGAAGAAGGCCUUCGGGUUGUAAAGCACUUUUGUCCGGAAAGAAAUCCUUGGCUCUAAUACAGUCGGGGGAUGACGGUACCGGAAGAAUAAGCACCGGCUAACUACGUGCCAGCAGCCGCGGUAAUACGUAGGGUGCAAGCGUUAAUCGGAAUUACUGGGCGUAAAGCGUGCGCAGGCGGUUUGCUAAGACCGAUGUGAAAUCCCCGGGCUCAACCUGGGAACUGCAUUGGUGACUGGCAGGCUAGAGUAUGGCAGAGGGGGGUAGAAUUCCACGUGUAGCAGUGAAAUGCGUAGAGAUGUGGAGGAAUACCGAUGGCGAAGGCAGCCCCCUGGGCCAAUACUGACGCUCAUGCACGAAAGCGUGGGGAGCAAACAGGAUUAGAUACCCUGGUAGUCCACGCCCUAAACGAUGUCAACUAGUUGUUGGGGAUUCAUUUCCUUAGUAACGUAGCUAACGCGUGAAGUUGACCGCCUGGGGAGUACGGUCGCAAGAUUAAAACUUAAAGGAAUUGACGGGGUCAUAGCGUUUCCU